CGGGAUGAUAUGGUCCGCCUGAUUCAUUCGACCAUAGCAAAGAGUAGUCUGUCUACUCUUGCUCGUACCUCUCUGCUCCAUCUAUCUCCUCUUCGCUCAACUUCUUUGACGAGGGAUAAUGCAACUGAAAGUGUUGCCAUCGAGGGUGGUAAUACUAACUUCUCGGUUAAUACGAGGCAAGGCAAAAUGGUGCCAAUUCUCAAGGAUUGUUCAAUUCCUUCCGACAGUUGUGGAUGCUUCUUGGACCUAAUGGUUGUGGUAAAUCUACCCCUUUAAAGCUGCAGAUCACUCCUCGUCGGGCGGUUGGACAGUAGCUGUGGUCAGAAGAGUUCUAUGGUGUUGAAGGGAAUAAAGUUGGGUGCUUUUGCUGCGAUUGGUUUUUUUUUAUAUAUGUAAGACUUCGUGCUUGGUUCUAUGAUGCAAUAAAAAUGGUAUUUUAUUUUAUUAAA